rnacentral:rRNA from 1 species
GAUGAACGCUGGCGGCGUGCCUAACACAUGCAAGUCGAGCGGACGGACGAGGCUCUUGCUUGUCUGCUGUUAGGGGCGGGCGGGUGAGUCACACGAGUAUAACCUCCCUAUCAGACUGGGAUCACUUCGGGAAAGCGGAUAUAACACCGGAUCAUAUUUUGAACCGCAUGGGUCAUAGGUAAAAGACGGUCUUGCUGGCACUUAUAGCUGGAUCCGGGCUGCUUUGGGUAGUUGUGAGGGUAACGGCCUACCAAGGCUACGAUGCGUAGCCGACCUGAGAGGCUGAUCGGCCACACUGGAACUGAGACACGGUCCAGACUCCUACGGGAGGCAGCAGUAGGGAAUGUUCGGCAAUGGGCGAAAGCCUGACGGAGCAAGGCCGCGUGUGUGAUGAAGGUCUUCGGAUCGUAAAGCUCGGUUAUUAGGGAAGAACAGAUGUGUAAGGAGAUGUGGACAUCUUGACGGUACCGAAUCAAAAAGCACCGGCUAACUACGUG